rnacentral:lncRNA from 1 species
AGCCAGGGACUGCAUAUUUAAACCCUGAAUAACUGACUAGAGCCUCGAAGUUAUGACAAAAUACUAAGAUGUGAUUUUUCUUUUAGGUGGGAAAUGAGGAAGGAUGAAACACUAGAAGAGGAAGAAAAAGCGAUGCUGGAACAUUUAAAACAAAUUUGCACCAUACAGGACUCUUCUGCCUCAGAUAACACGGAUGAACAGUAAUCCUCAGGAAAUGGCAACAGCUUUAUUUUAGGAAACAAUCACAUGUAAUGGAGUAGGGUUUUUACUAUAGUCAGAUGUGUUCUGAAGCAUGAAACCAAUGACUGAGUAAUCUCUGUACUGAAAAGGAAUACAAUACAUAAAGAAUAAAGUGCUCCAUAUUUUUAUUUAAAAAAUAAUUUCAAAUGUUUUUUCCCCCAAUCUUUCUCUUUAUAUGAUAAAACUGCUGCCAUCUCGUGUUCCCUUUGAAUCAUUUUCCUCCUUUCAGUCUCAAAGUAUCUAUGACAACAGGCAAAAUGUUAGGAAAUUUUUCCCUAAGGAUUUUUUAAUACAACAUUUGGAUGUUAAGAUGAAUGGAGUCACGUAGACCCCUGGGACUCAUCUGAAAAUUUCAAUUUAGUUUUGUAGCUGUAUCCCAAGUCCAGGUCUUAAUUGCCUUUAAUAUCCAGCAUUGAGCCAGCCUCGCUACCCACAUAACCUCUUAUUUAUCCAAUUUAUCUUUACCACAGUCACAAAAAAACAUUUCCCUGAACUGUUAACUUUAGUUAUGUUUCUUCUGUGGUGAUUUUCAGUCUAGUUCCUGAAUCUAAUUCCAGUUCCAGCACCAAUGUUUUUCAGUCCUAUACAAAUGGCUUCAGUCAGACAACUGCUGCCAUCCUUUUGGCUCAAGCCAUAUAGUUACCAUUUUUCUCACCCAGAAACCUCCUUUCUCCCAAAAUUAUGCUCAAAGGUCAUUCUGAUAACCUCUGCCCCACAAUUCAUAAUCUGUAAUGUCUGUUACUUUUAUUUCCAUUAUAUUGACAUUCUCUCUCUCUCUCUCUCUCUCUCUCUCUCUCACACACACACACACACACACACACCAUGCUAAAGAACUAGAAUAUGUUCUACUGUCCUCUCUGCCAAGUACAAUUAUAGUAUUUGUUAUAUCCUUCCUAGCAGAGCCUGAUGUUAGAUUAUAAACACAUUGAGGUCAUAAAUACAAUAUGAAGUCCCCUUUAAAAUUCCCCAUAUUCCUGCUGCAAUGUUAUUCAUUGAGUGGGGUGGUCAAUAAGCAUAGCUGAUUAAAUGGUUGCCAUUGAAAGAAGAUAACAAAGACAAUUAGAUGGUUGAGCAUUCUUCAGGAUGUCUGAGAGAAGCCUUAGAUCAUGGCCUACUUUAGACCAUAUGACAUCAAACAUCAUAGCUUUUGAUGUUCUCAGAUACAUAAUAAACUGUCCAUGCUCCCACAUUCUGUGAUUUUUAUAAAAUAUGUGUAGGCUACAUGAUUUCCAAAGGAAAGUACUCAUACAUUUUUCAAAGACUAAAAGUUUUGAGUGCAGAGGAGGCCACCUUAGAGAAUGUCUUGCGUUUUUACUUUAAAUAAAAACACAUAAAUGGCCAUGUUGCCAGCUGCCUGCUAAAUAACACAUUUUAUUUUUAAAGAGUGUACUUUAGUUGGACAGUAUAAUCAUGAACCAAAUGUUUUUAAGAUAUGGCUGAAAUAAUUUCUAAAAGUUCUAUGGAGACUCUUUAAAGAUUGUAAGACAAUUUAUGAAAAUUGGAAAAAUUACAUGUAGUUUGAUCUGUACACAGUAUAAUAAUCAAUUAUUCCUUCAGAUAAUUGGUAGUCUACAUACUAAAUUUGCAUAACUAUACUUUAUCAGACUAGAAGCUAAAAUAGGAAGUCAAAAUAAAAAUAAAUUGAUCCAAUAAACAAUAAAAACCCAAUCAUAAAAUUACAGGACUUCACACCUACCUGGUUUAUCUUCUAAUAUAUCAAUUUUUAUUGAAUCUGUAUAUUUUUAUACUAAUCCAAGAACCUGAUUUAGUUCCUUCAGAAAUAAAAUUUUCUAUGCUCCCAUUUGAAAGCAAAGAAGUUGUUUUAAGAAGAAAUGUUUCAGAUUUUUUGUUGCUCCAACCAAAGACCUGACAAGAACAAUUAGAGGAGGAAAAGUUGAUUUGGGGCUCCUGGUUUCAGAGAUCUCAGUCCUUAGAAGGCUGUUUCCAUUCCUCAGAGUUCAAGGUGAGGUAAAACAUCAUGGCUCAAGAGUGUGGUGGAAGAAAGAGGCUCAGAACAUUGCACCAAGAAGCAGAGAGAGAGAGAGCUCUGCCUAUCAAGGACAAAAUUUAAAACCAAAAGGGACCCACCUCCUCCAGUCACACCCUAUCUACCUACAGUUUCAUCAAGUUAGUCCCUAUAAUGGGAUUAAUUCACUGAUUGGCUUAAGGCUUUCAUAACCCAAUCAUUUUAUUCCUAAACCUUGUUGCAUUGUCUCACUUGAGCUUUUGGGGGACACCUCAUAUCUAAACCAUAACAGAAAUAUAGUAAGGGAAAAUGAGAUGGCUUUCAAGAAAGAGAAAAGUAGAAGAGUUUGCAAUUAAAUUCACUUCUGUAUUUGCUCAAUGAGAUGACUAUAGCUUUAAGUACAAUGAGGUUUAUAAUUUAAAAUGUUAAACGACAAGUCCUUGUGUUAUCACAUCAUUUUGACUUUUUAAAAAAAAUACCUUUAUUUUAUUUACUUUUAUUUGGUGCUGAGGAUCGAACCCAGUGCCUCACACACACCAGGCGAGUGCGAGUACUCUACUCUAAAAAAGUCAUUUUGACUUUAUGCUCAAUAUGCUUUUUACUAUAUUAUAAUAAGUAGUUGUUUCUCAUGUUAAUUUUGCAUUUAUAUGUUAAUACUAGGAAUGGAUCCUAUAUUUUAUAACUUCCCAUAUGUUUAUCACAAAAAUAUUGUCUUAUAAAAUAUUAUCUUUUCCUGUUUUCCAUGCAACUGUAUUUUUAUAUAAUUAUAGAGAUCUAUUUUAUUAUUGGUUGAGCAGGUACUAUAUGGAAAC